GCCAAAGAUUAUGUAUUGAAAAGAGACCGCUGAAACAAUGGAAAUACAUGUCCUCAAAGAUGGAAGCCAGACGGGAGAGGCGAGACAAGAUGUGAUCACUCCUCGCCAAUGAGAGGGCAGAUAUGCGUGUGAACAACAGGCAGAACUCCGAUUUAAAGUCCUAUUGUUUCUAAUUGCCAAAAUGCCAGGUGAGUCCACUUAUAUCAGUGCAUUCUUAACAAACUAACCAUUACGGAACUUCUAUUUGAUCAAAUAAACAUCACGUAGCAAGUACAUUUUUUUGUUGACCAAAUUCUUCACUCUCUCAUUAUCCUCCAUACAACUCUUCAAUAGGUGGUUUUAUUUUGGUGGACAGAUUUCGAGCAGAGUAAAUCCUCUCGCUUUGCCUCUUCCUCUCUGGACAAGCCUCGAAAACACCAGCGAAUGGCUGCUUUCAUGCCACGUCAUUUCCUGGAAAUGACUUUCAACGGGAAGAAUAUUUGGCGCGGUAACUUCUGUUGUGUUGAGCUGUGUACCAAGAGAGAUGAAGGUUGUCAAUAAAUAGCAAUGGCUCCGGCUUCUAACACAGAGAAGGACAAUCCAGGCGGCAGUGAGUCUGAACGGAAAGUUACUGUAAACAAACAAGCAUGUUAGCGAGCUAGACAAGAGGGAACAUGCAAAUACGGCUUAGCCAGCAAGCUCAUGCUGUCAGCUAACGUUACAAUAGCUCUCACUAACAACAAAGAAACUAUUAGCCAGUUAACGUUAGCUAGCUUUUCCAGAAUUACUAGAUUUCGGUACAUUUACACAGAAUGAUCGUAAUAUGAAUAAUUACCCACAGUUAGCUGGCUAGCUACUCUGUGAUGAUGACAUUUUAGAAAGUGGUCUGUCGCUAACGAAAUUUAGCAACGCGGGUCUGUUUACAUACAUUAGCGUUGCUCCUAUUGUAAUUGGGUUACACCGAAACAGGAAGUCAGAAGUUCCAUUUCAACUUUUAAAAAAAAUGUAAGCCCUCGAUUUUCAUUGAGUUGUCGCCAACCAUUUUCUCUAAGGCAUCGGACCUUGCAUUGAUGAGCCUGGAAAGAGUGGCGAUAAGAUCAUUAUUGGCAGUGGCAUCUGGGCCCAGUUCCAAACAUGCCUUUCUUGGAGUUAUAGGCAAAGAAGGAAAAUCCUCGUCUGACACGGUAAGUGUCAUAGAGUCUGUCAGACCAGUAUAGUUGUGGCAGUUGUCAAUCAAAGCAUUUGCCUCCUAUGUAACGACAUUGGAUGAUGCCUGAGCAUUGCGAGCUGAGUAGGUAGCCAUAAGAUUUAUCUUUCUGUCAGCGCGCUGACAUUUUGGAAAAUAUAAUAUUAAAUCAUCAAUAACCUGGUGUUUUUAGCAAGCAAAUUAUUCGUUUGUUAGUUCAAAAUAAUACACUUCACUAUCUUUCAAAAGUUGGUAUGCAGAUCUCUGUCGGAAGCGGGCGUUCAAGCUGCUAUCUUGGAGCCUCCCCAAGUUCCUUUUCAAUUGAAUGUGUCAGUGGACAUGCCGGUUGGUCAUUGUGACAGGGUGAAUUUGAGACAAUAUCUAAAGAAAUGUAUUAUUAAACAGACUUUCCAAACUUCCUCUGCUUUACAACAGAUCCAUGUUUGGUAAGUCUAUUUUAAUAUGCUGAACAAAAAUAUAAACGCAACAAUUUUACUGAGUUAACAGUUCAUAUCAGGAAAUCAGUUAAUUUAAAUAAAUUCAUUAGGCCCUAAUCUGGAUUUCACAUGACUGGGCAGGGGUGUAGGUCUGGGAGGGCAUAGGCCCACCCACUUGGGAUCCAGACCCAGACAAUUAGAAUUUGUUUUUCCCAACAAAAGGACUUUAUUAUGGACAGAAAUACUCCUCGGUUUCAUCAGCUGUCCGAGUGUCUGGUCUCAGACGAUCCUGCAGGUGAAGAAGUCUGAUGUGGAGGUCCUGGGCUGGUGGUUACACGUGGCUGCGGUUGUAAGGCCGGUUGGAUGUACUGCCAUAUUCUCAAAAAUGAUAUUGGUGGUGGCUUAUAGUAGAGAAAUUAACAUUAAAUUCUUGCAACAGCUCUGGUGGACAUUCCUGCAGUCAGCAUGCCAAUUGCACGCUCCCUCAACUUGAGACAUCUGUGGCAUUGUGUUGUUUGACAAAACUGCACAUUUUAGAGUGGCCAUACCCUACUCAAUAAGUUGGAUUCAGUCUGUCACAGUGCCAUCUCUUGUCACCAAAGCCCCAUAUGGUACCCACCACUGCGACCUGUACGCUCUCGUUGGCUGGCCCUCGCUUCAUACUCGUCGCCAAACCUACUGGCUCCAGGUCAUCUACAAGACCCUUCUACGUAAAGUCCCCCCUUAUCUCAGCUCGCUGGUCACCAUAGCAGCACCCACCUGUAGCACACGCUCCAGCAGGUAUAUCUCUCUGGUCAUCCCCAAAACCAAUUCUUCCUUUGGCCGCCACUCCUUCCAGUUCUCUGCUGCCAAUGACUGGAAUGAACUACAAAAAUCUCUGAAACUGGAAACACUUAUCCCCCUCACUAGCUUUAAGCACCAGCUGUCAGAGCAGCUCACAGAUUACUGCACCUGUACAUAGCCCAUCUAUAAUUUAGCCUAAACAACUACCUCUGCCCCUACUGUAUUUAUUUAUUUAUUUUGCUCCUUUGCACCCCAUUAUUUCUACUUUGCACAUUCUUCCACUUCAAAUCUACCAUUUCAGUGUUUUACUUCGCCACCAUGGCCUUUCUUUUUUUUGCCUUUACCUCCCUUAUCUCACCUCAUUUGGAUAAAAGCGUCUGCUAAAUGGCAUAUAUUAUUAUAUAUUAUUUGCUCACAUCGUAUGUAGACUUAUUUUUCUACUGUAUUAUUGACUGUAUGUUUGUUUUACUCCAUGUGUAACUCUGUGUUGUUGUUUGUGUCGAACUGCUUUUGCUUUCUUAGCCAGGUCACAGUUGUAAAUGAGAACUUGUUCUUAACUUGCCUACCUGGUUAAAUAAAGGUGGGGGGGAAUGAUCCCAGCACAAGGAGCACCUGUGUAUUGAUCAGGCUGUUUAAUCAGCUUCUUGUUAUGCCACACCUGUCAGGUGGAUGGGUUAUCUUGGCGAAUGAGAAAUGCUCACUAACAGACCCAAACAAAUUUGUGCACAGAAUUUGAGAGAAAUAAUUAUCUUGGCAAAGUAGAAAUGCUCACUAACAGGGAUGUAAACAGAUUUCUGCACAAAGUUGGAGAGCGAAGGUUUUUGUGCGUAUGGAACAUUUCUGGGAUCUUUUAUUUCAGCUAAAACACGGGACCAACACUUUACAUGUUGUGUUUAUAUUUCUGUUCAGUAUAAUAUGUUACUUUAGAUAUUGUCUCAAAUUCCCAGGUCAUAAUGACCAACGGAUUUUAAAAUGUAUUUUCAUUUUAUUUAACUUCUGGCUUCCCACAGACUGUUCUUGUGCAACCCAAUACAAUAGGAAGUAACACUAGUGUAUGUAAAUACACCCGCGUGGCUAAAAGCAGGUAGUCACUUCCCUGCCCUGAAUGUGCUUUCAGGGGAUGACUGGUUUGGCAGCUCAACAGAGCCAAGGGAGAGAAGGUCAAAUACGAGGUGAUAGUCGUGUGUGUGUGUGUACAAAGUUAUAACGAGGAGCGCCCACAAUGUGCUCUGUGCGGGGGAAGUGCUGACUAAUGAGUCUCUCAUAACGAACAAAUGAGUAAAAGGACAUGCCCUGACCAAACAUCCACAACAUGAUGGUAAACCCAGAGAGUUAUUUCAGAACAGGGCAGAAUGCUUCAGGAAACAGUGCUUCAGGAAACAGUGCUUCAGGAAACAGUGCUUCAGGAAACAGUGCUUCAGGAAACAGUGCUUCGACAGUGGAAAAAGCUGAGCAGCCAGCGAGUGAGUUGGUGUUAGUGAUGGCGUUGCAUAUCGACCUGGUCACCGAGGUCAAAGACCUGCCGCCUCCACCUCUCACUGUCAUGUCCUUCAGCCUGAAGACUACAGAACCCCGGAACGAGGUGUGUGUAAUACUGAGUCAGACUUAGACGAUGACUGAGUUAAAAUUCCACAUGACUUCUGAGCAGUUGUGUAAAGGUACUUAGGUAGUACUUUAAAGUAGUUGUUUGUGUUAUCUGUACUUUACUAUUUAUAUUUUUUGACUACUUUUACUUCACUACAUUCCUAAAAAAAAUAAUAUACUUUUUACUCCAUACAUUUUUCCUGGCAGCCAAAAGUACCUCGUUGAAUGUUGAAUGCUUAGCAGGAUAGCAAAAUGGUCCCUGGCUAGUCGUUAAUAAAAACUAAAAACAA